rnacentral:lncRNA from 1 species
ACUAACCCCAAAGCACACAUGUAUGGGGUGUGGGAUUCUGAUGAGUGCAGCUAUCGUCAGUUACCUUGCAGGACAACUGUGACUCACUGAAAUGUGUAAUUUUAAACAGAAGUGGUCCUGUAGAGAUUGUCAUCUUGUUGGCAGGAGAAUGGCACCUUACCAAGUAAGAAUGAGGACUGCAAGAGGAGGGGGCACAAGAAGCCUGAGAGGAAGAAAAGCAGUGAGACACCUUCAGUCUUCCAGCCAGGAUUUGUGCCUUCAGGAACCAUCUAGCUCUAUGAAACCUGCUUGCCUACCUGCUGUAAACUACCUCAGAGCCUGAACUACCUGAGUAAAGCUGUAUUUAUGAAUACAGGCAAAGAAAGUAAAAGAAAACCUCAUAAGAGAUGGACAUAGUGAAAAGACCUUGGAGAUGGAUGAGCAGAUGUGAGCACAUGGCAUACUCACGCUCCUGUUGGGACCCC